AGUCCUGGUGCGCUCGCUAUAUUAAACCCACGCUGUUACCUUCCCGAAUACAGCCGUUAAGUAAUAUAGGGCGAAAAAUAGUUGAGGGCAGGCCCUCCGCAAAAACAAGCUCGUGCCAGGGCA
rnacentral:rRNA from 1 species